rnacentral:rRNA from 1 species
AGCGAACGCUGGCGGCAGGCCUAACACAUGCAAGUCGAACGAACUCUUCGGAGUUAGUGGCGGACGGGUGAGUAACACGUGGGAACGUGCCUUUAGGUUCGGAAUAACUCAGGGAAACUUGUGCUAAUACCGAAUGUGCCCUUCGGGGGAAAGAUUUAUCGCCUUUAGAGCGGCCCGCGUCUGAUUAGCUAGUUGGUGAGGUAAAGGCUCACCAUGGCGACGAUCAGUAGCUGGUCUGAGAGGAUGAUCAGCCACAUUGGGACUGAGACACGGCCCAAACUCCUACGGGAGGCAGCAGUGGUGAAUCUUGCGCAAUGGGCGAAAGCUUGACGCAGCCAUGCCGCGUGAAUGAUGAAGGUCUUAGGAUUGUAAAAUUCUUUCACCGGGGACGAUAAUGACGGUACCCGGAGAAGAAGCCCCGGCUAACUUCGUGCCAGCAGCCGCCGUAA